rnacentral:rRNA from 1 species
UACGUAGGGGGCAAGCGUUAUCCGGAUUUACUGGGUGUAAAGGGAGCGUAGACGGCGAUGCAAGCCAGAUGUGAAAGCCCGGGGCUCAACCCCGGGACUGCAUUUGGAACUGUGUGGCUGGAGUGUCGGAGAGGCAAGUGGAAUUCCUAGUGUAGCGGUGAAAUGCGUAGAUAUUAGGAGGAACACCAGUGGCGAAGGCGGCUUUCUGGACUGAAACUGACGCUGAGGCACGAAAGCGUGGGGAGCGAACAGG